GUGGGGAAUAUUGGACAAUGGGCGAAAGCCUGAUCCAGCCAUGCCGCGUGUGUGAAGAAGGUCUUCGGAUUGUAAAGCACUUUAAGUUGGGAGGAAGGGCAGUUACCUAAUACGUGAUUGUUUUGACGUUACCGACAGAAUAAGCACCGGCUAACUCUGUGCCAGCAGCCGCGGUAAUACAGAGGGUGCAAGCGUUAAUCGGAAUUACUGGGCGUAAAGCGCGCGUAGGUGGUUUGUUAAGUUGGAUGUGAAAUCCCCGGGCUCAACCUGGGAACUGCAUUCAAAACUGACUGACUAGAGUGUGGUAGAGGGUGGUGGAAUUUCCUGUGUAGCGGUGAAAUGCGUAGAUAUAGGAAGGAACACCAGUGGCGAAGGCGACCACCUGGACCAACACUGACACUGAGGUGCGAAAGCGUGGGGAGCAAACAGG
rnacentral:rRNA from 1 species